UGAACCAUUGGGGCCCCAGCGGUGAACGCUAUGCAGAUAUGAUUAUGCACAUUUCACAGGUUCUCAAACUCUCCUAAACCCUUGAGUACCUCAUGGGCCUCCUCAAGGGUAAAGGAGCCAAACAGAGUGAACCCGAGGAAGGAAAACUGAAGCCCAGAGAAGUUGAUCAAUCUGUCCAGGGACACGCAGCGACAGAGGAGGUGAAGGUUUUCUCCUUGGAAUAUUGAAGAGGAAAUAUGCGUUAGAAAUACGUCAAGUCAUGGGGCGCCUGGGUGGUUCACUCAGUUAAGCGUCUGACUACGGCUCAGGUCAUGAUUU